rnacentral:rRNA from 1 species
GCAGAACGCGAAGAACCUUACCCAGGCUUGACAUCCUUGGAAGGCUUUCGAAAGGAAACUGUGCCCUCGGGAACCAAGUGACAGGUGAUGCAUGGCCGUCGUCAGCUCGUGUCGUGAGAUGCUUGGUUAAGUCCAUCAACGAGCGCAACCCUUUUAGUUAGUUGUAUUUCUCUAGCUAGACUGCCCUGGUAACAGGGAGGAAGGAGGGGAUGAUGUCAGGUCAGUAUUUCCCUUACGUCUGGGGCUACAAACACGCUACAAUGGCCGGUACAAAGGGCAGCCAAGUCGCGAGACGGAGCAAAUCCCAUCAAAGCCGGUCUCAGUUCGGAUAGCAGGCUGAAACUCGCCUGCUUGAAGCUGGAAUCGCUAGUAACGGUAGGUCAGCACACUACCGUGAAUACGUUCCCGGGUCUUGUACACACCG